GUGUCAGCCGCCGCGGUAAUACGUAGGGUGCAAGCGUUGUCCGGAAUUAUUGGGCGUAAAGAGCUCGUAGGCGGCUUGUCGCGUCUGCUGUGAAAUCCCGGGGCUCAACCCCGGGCCUGCAGUGGGUACGGGCAGGCUAGAGUGCGGUAGGGGAGAUUGGAAUUCCUGGUGUAGCGGUGGAAUGCGCAGAUAUCAGGAGGAACACCGAUGGCGAAGGCAGAUCUCUGGGCCGCUACUG
rnacentral:rRNA from 1 species